rnacentral:rRNA from 1 species
ACGAUGAUUGCUAGCCGUUGGGCAGCUUGCUGUUCAGUGGCGCAGCUAACGCAUUAAGCAAUCCGCCUGGGGAGUACGGCCGCAAGGUUGAAACUCAAGGGAAUUGANCGGGGGCCCGCACAAGCGGUGGAGCAUGUGGUUUAAUUCGACGCAACGCGCAGAACCUUACCAGCCCUUGACAUCCCGGUCGCGGACUCCAGAGAUGGAGUUCUUCAGUUCGGCUGGACCGGAGANCAGGUGCUGCAUGGCUGUCGUCAGCUCGUGUCGUGAGAUGUUGGGUUAAGUCCCGCAACGAGCGCAACCCCCGUCCUUAGUUGCUACCAUUUAGUUGAGCACUCUAAGGAGACUGCCGGUGAUAAGCCGCGAGGAAGGUGGGGAUGACGUCAAGUCCUCAUGGCCCUUACGGGCUGGGCUACACACGUGCUACAAUGGCGGUGACAAUGGGACGCUAAGGGGCAACCCUUCGCAAAUCUCAAAAAGCCGUCUCAGUUCGGAUUGGGCUCUGCAACUCGAGCCCAUGAAGUUGGAAUCGCUAGUAAUCGUGGAUCAGCAUGCCACGGUGAAUACGUUCCCGGGCCUUGUACACACCGCCCGUCACACCAUGGGAGUUGGUUUUACCUGAAGACGGUGCGCUAACCGCAAGGAGGCAGCCGGCCACGGUAGGGUCAGCGACUGGGGUGAAGUCGUAACAAGGUACC